rnacentral:tRNA from 2 species
UGGGACGUGGCCAAGUGGUAAGGCAGCGGGUUUUGGUCCCGUUAUUCGAAGGUUCGAAUCCUUCCGUUCCAG